GACGAACGCUGGCGGCGUGCUUAACACAUGCGAGUCGAACGAUGAAGCCGGAGCUUGCUCUGGUGAAUUAGUGGCGAACGGGUGAGUAACACGUGAGUAACCUGCCCUCGACUCUGGGAUAACUGCUAGAAAUGGUAGCUAAUACCGGAUACGACCCUCGGAGGCAUCUCCAGGGGGUGGAAAGAAUUUCGGUCAAGGAUGGACUCGCGGCCUAUCAGCUAGUUGGUGAGGUAACGGCUCACCAAGGCGACGACGGGUAGCCGGCCUGAGAGGGUGACCGGCCACGCUGGGACUGAGACACGGCCCAGACUCCUACGGGAGGCAGCAGUGGGGAAUAUUGCACAAUGGGCGCAAGCCUGAUGCAGCAACGCCGCGUGAGGGAUGACGGCCUUCGGGUUGUAAACCUCUUUUAGCAGGGAAGAAGCGAAAGUGACGGUACCUGCAGAAAAAGCACCGGCUAACUACGUGCCAGCAGCCGCGGUAA
rnacentral:rRNA from 1 species